ACGUGUUCCGACAUUAUCACUCAGAAAGAAAACGUGUUGUUUGUUAGGAGCGCCCUAACCUUGAAGAUUACGACGGAGAAUCCAGUCCCUCGCGGAGCACUAGGUCCGGUAUCGCUUCUCGGCCUUUUGGCUAAGAUCAAGUGUAGUAUCUGUUCUUAUCAGUUUAAUAUCUGAUACGUCCCCUACCCGGGGACCAUAUAUUAAAUUGAUUUUUGGAACAGGGAGAUGGAAUAGGGGCUUGCUCCGUCCACUCCACGCAUCGACCUGGUAUUGCAGUACCUCCAGGAACGGUGCACUCCCCUCGGGGAAAAAAGGCAUGUGAAAUAUUAGCAAUUAGCUUCGGCAUUCAGUAUGUUUUAAGCUGCACGAUAACGGGGGCUAUGUUAUUGGUGCGGAUCACAGUUUCUGGAAACGUGUUGGAUUAAAAGAACAUCUAAGCGCCAUCUGUGAGAAUCGGCACGUAAACCCCUCCCAUCAGGCAGAAGGUACAGGAGCAUCAGUAGCAGAACAUCCCACUUCAGGAGCAUCAGUAGCAGAACAUCCCACUUCAGGAGUAUCAGUAGCAGAACAUCCCACUUCAGGAGUAUCAGUAGCAGAACAUCCCACUUCAGGAGCAUCAGUAGCAGAACAUCCCACUUCAGGAGCAUCAGUAGCAGAACAUCCCACUUCAGGAGCAUCAGUAGCAGUAUCAGUAGCAGAACAUCCCACUUCAGGAGUAUCAGUAGCAGUAUCAGAACAUCCCACUUCAGAGAUAGUACCUACCGCCAAGCCAUCAGACACUCUUAACAUGCACUGAAUAUCUUGCACAUGUAAAUCUAUGCAUCAUGUAGAUGUAGGUCCAUGUUUGUAUGAACAUACUAUGUGAAUAGGCCGAAUCUCUUUAUAGGCUGAAGCUCUAAAACACUUUAACUCAAGUUCAGCCCUAUAUUUUUGAUGAGUCAUGUUGUGUUGUGGGCACUUUCCUAUCAACUGUGUAGCUGAAAUGGCAAUAAACAAUACAAUGUGUCAAAAAACCCUCUGUGUUGUGGAGACCUUCAAACUAGCACAGGCCCCAGGUAUUAAAUAUAAUGCAAUAAUAGGUAUACAAUAUAAUGCAAGUCAAUGCAAGAGUGCCAUGUUGCUCAAAUCUUACAGAAUUACACAUAGCUCCUCUAGAGGUUGCAGAUGUAUGUUUUUUAUAUGGUGGGGAAAUAUCCUCAUGCAUAUGGAUGGACAUCAACAUUGGACAGGAAAUAUACAUUGUAUACAGUAUUUGUAUUCAAUGUGACACAAACUGUGAAACUAAGUGACAUAAUAUGCCACAUAUUAUGCAAAUGUGUUCUCAUGUACCUGUAGGUCCAGUUGCAAAUGUGUUCUCAUGUACCUGUAGGUCCAGUUGCAGGUCCAGAAGCAAUCACAGAAACAGCAACGGAUCAUCAUCAGAAUAUCAUCAAAAAGUUCAUUUAUGUCAGUAAUUCCGUUCAAAAAGUGAAACUUGUAUAUUAUAUUCAUGCAUUACACACAGACUGAUAUAUUUCAAAUGUUUAUUUCUUUUAAAUUUGAUGAUUAUAACUGACAACUAAUGAAAAUCCCAAAUUCAGUAUCUCAGUGUAAGUAGAUACUGUAGUCAACUUAGUUUGACAAUUGAUGCUUUUAUUUGCCUUCUGUCCUAAUUGACACUCAUAGCCUAUCCUUUAUUUUUAUUGUUUGUAUUAUUAAUAAUAAUAAUUAUCAUUAUGUAUCCCACUUGCAUCAUUAUAACCAUUAAAGCCAAUUCAAACGGUGGCAAUAUAUUACGUGGGCCUCACUGUUACGCCUAUGGACCUUAUAAAAACGGUCGCUCGCUAUGUCGCUAUCUCACCAAUGAAACCAUUUCAACACAUUCGCCGUUGUGUUUACACAGGUAUUGUAUUUUUGAAAUAAAAUAAAAAACCUACAGCGUGCACAUGCAUGAAGCCUGCCUGCCGUGCAGAGACCUUGUGAGGGGCAGGGCUCAGGGAACCAGAUUUGUUAACAAUAUACAGUUAAGAACAAAAUUAUUCAUACCGCUGGGCAAAUAUUGAUUUAAUGUUGAUUUUCUCUUCAUCAAUAUGCUUGUUCUGACUGAAAAUGACACUGCCACAUGUCAAACGUGUGUAGCCUAAGACAAUGUAACAUGGAAUCAGAAAAAGCAGCAUUUUCACCUUUUUUAACAUUUUUAUAUAAUACCUUUCUUAUAAUACCUACAAAGCCUCUUCAUGUCUCCACAAUGAUUGUAGACCGCAUCUUUUUAGCAGCAAUCCGGGUUUUGACUCUGACCUUGGGCUCUUGACGGAUCGAGGUCUGGAGUCUGGUCGCCAUCCACGCCUCAGUAAUUUAUCUCAACACAGAGGAUAGGCCUACAGCAGAUUAAGCUCAAUAGCGGUAACCGCGACAAUUGCGUUAAUUUGAUCUGUAAUGCUAACAUCUUAAUUUUGACAGCCCUAAAACAACAACUUGCCCCUCGCCCAUUCACAUUUGCUUGCGGACCACUAGGGAUAUCUGGCGGAGUUGGACCACAAUUUAACACUGGUCUACGGGAAGAUGAAGUA